UACGGAAGGGGCAAGCGUUGUUCGGAAUUACUGGGCGUAAAGGGCUCGUAGGCGGCCAACUAAGUCAGACGUGAAAUCCCUCGGCUUAACCGGGGAACUGCGUCUGAUACUGGAUGGCUGGAGUUUGGGAGAGGGAUACGGAAUUCCAGGUGUAGCGGUGAAAUGCGUAGAUAUCUGGAGGAACACCGAUAGCGAAGGCAGCUCGCUGGGACGGUACUGACGCUGAGGUGCGAAAGCGUGGGGAGCGAACAGG
rnacentral:rRNA from 1 species